UACAGAGGUCUCAAGCGUUGUUCGGAUUCAUUGGGCGUAAAGGGUGCGUAGGUGGCGCUGUAAGUCGGGUGUGAAAUUUCGGAGCUUAACUCCGAAACUGCAUUCGAUACUGCGGUGCUUUGAGGACUGGAGAGGAGACUGGAAUUCAUGGUGUAGCAGUGAAAAUGCGUAGAGAUCAUGAGGAAGACCAGUGGCGAAGGCGGGUCUCUGGACAGUUCCUGACACUGAGGCACGAAGGCCAGGGGAGCAA
rnacentral:rRNA from 1 species